rnacentral:rRNA from 1 species
CCGACGGUGAGGGACGAAAGCCAGGGGAGCGAACGGGAUUAGAUACCCCGGUAGUCCUGGCCGUAAACGAUGCGUGUUAGGUGUUGGUAGGGCUCUGAGCCGUAUCAGUGCCGUAGGGAAACUGUUAAACGCGCCGCCUGGGAAGUACGCUCGCAAGGGUGAAACUUAAAGGAAUUGGCGGGGGAGCACCACAAGGGGUGAAGCCUGCGGUUCAAUUGGACUCAACGCCGGGAAACUUACCGGGGGC